rnacentral:rRNA from 1 species
CCCUGUGAAMUACCACUUGUUGCCUCGGCGGAUCAGCCCGCUCCCGGUAAAACGGGACGGCCCGCCAGAGGACCCCUAAACUCUGUUUCUAUAUGUAACUUCUGAGUAAAACCAUAAAUAAAUCAAAACUUUCAACAACGGAUCUCUUGGUUCUGGCAUCGAUGAAGAACGCAGCAAAAUGCGAUAAGUAAUGUGAAUUGCAGAAUUCAGUGAAUCAUCGAAUCUUUGAACGCACAUUGCGCCCGCCAGUAUUCUGGCGGGCAUGCCUGUUCGAGCGUCAUUUCAACCCUCAAGCACAGCUUGGUGUUGGGACUCGCGUUAAUUCGCGUUCCUCAAAUUGAUUGGCGGUCACGUCGAGCUUCCAUAGCGUAGUAGUAAAACCCUCGUUACUGGUAAUCGUCGCGGCCACGCCGUUAAACCCCAACUUCUGAAUGUUGACCUCGGAUCAGGUAGGAAUACCCGCUGAACUUAAGCAUAUCAAAGGCCGGAGGAAA